rnacentral:rRNA from 1 species
UACGUAGGGGGCAAGCGUUGUCCGGAAUUAUUGGGCGUAAAGAGCGCGUAGGCGGUCCGGUAAGUCGGCUGUGAAAGUCAAGGGCUCAACCCUUGAAAGCCGGCCGAUACUGUCGGACUAGAGUCCGGAAGAGGCGAGUGGAAUUCCCGGUGUAGCGGUGAAAUGCGCAGAUAUCGGGAGGAACACCAAUGGCGAAGGCAGCUCGCUGGGACGGUACUGACGCUAAGGCGCGAAAGCGUGGGGAGCGAACAGG